CCGCGCCCCGUCCCGCCCCUGGCUCUGGCGCUGCGAGCUCGAGACCCCUCCGGUGGCCGGGCUCCCUGGCGACCCCACGAUGGCCGGCCUCGCGCCGCGGGUCGAAUACCUGGCGGGCUUCUGCUGCCCGCUCGGAGGCCUGGCGGUGGGCAAGCCUCGCGUGCUGUGCCACGGGGCGGAGGUCUUCCUGUCCACCGGGAGCGAGCUGGUCUAUGUCUACGACCGGGAGGGGCGGCUGCUGAUCGCCGUGUACAAGUUUCCCGGUAAGGUGUGGCACCUGGAGCUCCUGGCCCUUCGCAGGGCGCUCUACGUUCUGUGCGCCCGGAGUGGCAUCUACUGCUUGUCUUUGGACCAGGCGAGCAGGUCUGUGAGCCGGGAUGACAAGGAUGACAGGGACGACCAGGACAGUGAGGAUGGGCAGGUCGAUGAGCUCCCUGUCCCUGUGAUCCCCGUGCACCCAGACACCUGUGUGCUCCCCAGUGCCACACUGCAUGCCUUCACCGUGCUCGAUGACGUGCUCAUCACCCUGGCACAGGGCCCCACCCAGUGGAAGGUGCAGCUGUUUGAGUGUCCGUGUCCAGGGGAGGACCCUAGGCCCGGAGGCCAGAUUGGCGAGGUGGAGUUGUCCACCUGCACCCCCCCAGCUGGGAGCCUGGGGGAGCCCACAGCCCCCCGCUUCCUCCCAGUGCUGUGCUGUGCGUCACCACCAGGCUCCAGGGCCCCACAUGGCCACCCGUGGGGCUCUGGGGGCGUCACGCUGGAGGGGGCCCUCUUUGGGCUACUCUUUGGAACCGAUGCCUCCCUCCUGGAGUCGCCCGUGAUCCUCUGCGGUCUCCCCGAUGGCCAGCUCUGCUGUGUGGUCCUCAAGACCCUGGUCACCUCUAGGUCUGCCCCUGGUGAUCCGAAGGCCCUUGUCAAGAUCCUCCAUCACCUGGAAGAGCCUGUCAUCUUCAUUGGAGCCUUGAGGACAGAGCCGCUGUCCGAGGAUGUGGAGGACGUGUACUGUGACUGCCUGGUGGCACUUGGUCACCAUGGCCGGACACUGGCCAUCAAGGCCAGCUGGGACGAGGCAGGGCAUCUGGUGCCAGAGCUGCGGGAGUACAGCCUCCCGGGGCCUGUGCUCUGUGCGGCCUGCGGCAGGGGCGGCCGUGUGUACCACAGCACCCCCUCGGACCUCUGUGUAGUGGACCUGGCUCAGGAGGUCUCCCCCUGGGACCUCACGCAGCGUGACGGGGCCCCAGGAGGCCUGCCCUCUCUGCUGUGUCCAGCCAGCUUGAGUGUCUGCAGCGUCGUCACCCUCUCUGUGUCAUCUAGGGCGCCUGAAGGGGGUGCUGAGCUCCUGGCCCUGUCUGCCAAAGGCCGGCUGAUGACCUGCAGCCUGGACCCGCACUCUGAGACGCCUCACCCCACCAGAGUGACCUCGGCGAAUGCUGGCCAAAAAAUUAAGGAGUUGCUGUCUGGAAUUGGCACUGUCUCUGAGAGAGUGUCUUCUCUGAAGAAGGCGGUUGACCAGCGGGACAAGGCCCUGACCUGCCUCAACGAAGCCAUGAACGUGAGCUGCGCCCUGCUGUCGAGCCGGGAGGGUCCCAGGCCCAUCUCCUGCACCAUCAGCACCUCCUGGAGCCACCUGCAGCUGCAGGACGUGCUGACAGCUACCUGCCUGCUGGAGAACAGCAGCGGCUUCAGCCUGGACCGGGGCUGGGCCCUGUGCAUCCAGGUGCGCCGCAGCUCCCGGGCCUUGGACCUGGACUCGGCUAUCUCGGCCAUCACCUACACCAUCCCCGUGGACCAGCUCGGCCCUGGCGGUCAGCGUGAGGUGACGCUGCCUCUGGGCCCGGGAGAGGACGGUGCGCUUGACCUGCCCGUGACCGUGUCCUGCGCACUCUUCUACAGCCUCAGGGAGGUCGUGGGUGGGGCCCUUGCCCUCACGGACCCUUUCAAGGACCCCUCUUCGAAUGAAUGCACCCCUGACGUCCUGCCUGAGCAGGACGGCGUGUGCCUGCCCCUGAGCGAGCACACGGUGGACAUGCUGCAGGGCCUGCGCUUCCCCGGCCUGGCUGCACCCCACACGCAGGCCCUGGGCCCACUCAGCCCUGCCAGAGACCCCAUCCACACCUUCCUGGAAACUUGCUGCGGGCCAGUCAGCCAGCCCGCAGGACCAGCGUCCCUGCGGGCCAAGUACCUGCCCCCGUCAGUGGCCACCGUCAAGGUGUCGGCAGAGUUGCUCAGGGCCGCCCUAGGGGACGAUCACGCAGGCGUGUCCCUGUGUUCUGCCACCCUGCAGUGGCUCCUUGCCGAGAAUGCCAUCGCGGACAUCGUGAGGGCCCAAGCACUGUCCUCCGUCCAGGGAGUGGCCCCAGAUGGCACUGAUGUCCACCUCAUCAUCCGCGAGGUGGCUGUGACCGACCUGUGCCCAGCAGGGCCCAUCCAGGCCAUGGAGAUCCAGGUGGAGAGCUCCUCUCUGGCCAACAUGUGCAGGGCACACCACGCCAUCGUCGGGCGUUUGCAGGGGGCGCCCCGUGUUGCUCUUGCGGGCCUGAAACAAGCAGGGCUGUCUCCAGACCCGCCGAGCGCGGCAGUUGAGAGGUGGACAGUUAGUGAGAAGCCGGGAGAGGAGCAUACCGACCAGACUUCCAGCAAGAAGGGGAGUUAGUGUCCUGGGGCUGCGGGAACAAAGUGCCGCAGAUGGGACACAGUGCGUUCACUUUGGAGACAGGGAUCCAGGUGUCCGCAGGGUGGUUCCUUCUGAGGCCUCUCUUCUGGGCGCGUGGAUGGCCGACUCCUCCCUAUGUCCUCAUAUGGUCAUCCCUCUGCAUAUCCGUGUCCUGAUCUUUUCUUAGAAGGACACCAGUCCUAUGGGAGUAAAGCCAACCCACGUGACCUCGUUUUAACUUGAUUAUCUGUGGAGACCCUCUCUCCAAACACAAUCACCAGGGGUGCUGGGAGCUGGGGCUUCCAAGUGUGAAUUUGGGAGGCAUGCUUCAGCCCCCAGUGGAACGCUGGGGACACUCCCUUGAUGGGAAUCUUCUUGUGGGCUGCAGACCUCUGUCCUCCGUCUGCUGACACUAUGCUUGUGGAAUGGGAGUGUUCUCGUGACAACUGGCGUUCAUUCACCUGGCCGCUUGGAAUCUGGGGGGCCUUGUCAGGUGUGCAGCUUCUGCCACUGGCAGCAUCUCCUGCUGCCCCUUGGGGUGUCGGGGUCUCUUCUCAGUGCUCUGCCCUGGAGGCCAGCGGGAGCCUUGCUUCCUGCGUCAGUCUGCAAGCUUGGGUUCAGCCCUGAGAGCCGGCCAGACUGCCUCCAGAAAGCAGGACGUGAAGCAGCUCUUUCAUGGGCCAAGAUAGGAACAGCGGUGCCAAGGCCUGAGGCCAAGGAUGGGGAAGGGGUGGCGGUAGGAGGUGGGUAGUGAGGGGAAAGGGCUGAGAAGAAAGUUACUUCCAAGUAAAUGAUCGUCAGGGUGGGGCUAGCAUGCCCUGCCGCCCGAGGUGAAGGUUAACUGGGGGCGAGGCAGGGAGGCCUGAUGGAUGGUUCGGGGAGGGAGAAGGGCCACCUGGCUCUGCGGGCUGGAGGACAGGUGCCAGGAGCCCCGGGCGCUACGUUGGGACACACGGGAGAAGCACCCUCUUCAGCCGUGUGCCCCUUGUGUCCCCCCAGAGGCUGGUCAUGGAGCAGGCUGCCCGGGGCUCCAGCCCGCCUGACCUCCGCCUGCAGUAUCUCCACCAGAUCCAGGCCAACCAUGAGACGCUGCUGCGGGAGGUGCAGACCCUGCGGGACCGGCUGUGCACGGAGGACGAAGCCAGC